rnacentral:rRNA from 1 species
UACGUAGGGGGCAAGCGUUGUCCGGAUUUAUUGGGCGUAAAGAGCGUGUAGGCGGCUUGGUAGGUCCGCUGUGAAAACUCGAGGCUCAACCUCGAGAUGUCGGCGGAAACCACUUGGCUAGAGUCCGGAAGAGGAGAGUGGAAUUCCUGGUGUAGCGGUGAAAUGCGCAGAUAUCAGGAGGAACACCGAUGGCGAAGGCAGGUCUCUGGGCAUUAACUGACGCUGAGGAGCGAAAGCAUGGGGAGCGAACAGG